AAUUUCAAUAUGGCAUCAGUUAUCUUCUAUACAAGGAAUGACAAACUACAAAUAAUUAAUGCAUCUUUUUUUCUGGGUGUGCCCAUUAAAGGAUUUAGAAAAUAGAUUAAGAAAUAGAUUUAAGGGCAAAAUGAUAUUAUAUAGAAACACCCAUACUGGUGUUCUGGAUUUAGUCACUGUAUAAACACACAUUUAUCUUCCUGGUUUCUAUCAGUGAAGUGACGACAGCAGUUACACCCUGCUCAUCAGACUACAUAGAGGACAAGAGGAAAUCAUCUUACAAUCUUUGUUACUGGUAUUACACCAAUCCCUCGUUUGUGCUCGACUUGUUUUCUUGUGUUCAAACAGCCACUCAGUUUUUAAUGAGUUUCUCUUGAGGUGUUUUUAAGUGUGGUGGCCUCAUCCUUCUCCAGAAGAUCUUCCAUUCUUUUCAGUCAAUGACACAGUGCUUGAAACGAAAGAUUACCUUCUGUCUUUGUCUUUCUCUCACUCCUGACACAGAACCUGACGACCCUGUGUCACCUUGAUCAGCUUCUCUUGGUGACUCACAUCAACCUCUCCUCCAAUCAGCUGCUGCGGCUGCCGUCUCAGUUUGCCAUGCUGCAGUGCCUCGAGGUGCUGGAGGCCGAUGACAAUGCCAUUGAAAGUCUGGAGGGACUGUAUCAUCUGCCUAAACUAGAGGAAGUGUCUCUGUGGAACAACCAAAUCUGUAAGCUGUCUGAUCUUGAAUCAUUGGC